UUUCAUUAUAUUAAAGGGUAUAAAAACUAGAAUAAGACGACAGAGUUAUGUACGACAACAGUUGGACUUAUUCUUCUGCUUAAAAAAUUUGAACAUCAUGAAUAAAUUCUUGCUGGUGUUUAUUGCUGCUUGCAGUUUGAUUUUGCUUGAAGGAACAAAUGGAAUGCCAAAUUAUUUGUUUAAAAUGCCUCUUUUAGCUGCUGGACAAAAGGUUUUGAAACCGGACUUCACGCUGAGGGGAGGAGGAGGAGGAAACAACUUGCACGACUUCCAUGGUAAUUUAGACCUCGGAGUUCAAUCAAAGAUCUGGGAAAGCAGAAAUCGGGAUUUCAGUGUUGGUGUGGGUGGACACUGGAACCAGCCCCUCGGUCCAGGGUCGAUGAGGCCCAGCUGGGAUGCAAAUGCUGUUUUUGGUUGGCAAUUCGGAAGAUAAUAUCUCAAAUACAAGAACUCAUUUUGCCAAAAAUUCAUAAAUGAUGUUGCUCUCGAUGCUAAGUAUGAAAUAAAACACUUAAAGUACUUUAAAUUUUGGCGUGUGUUUAGAAAAUACCUUGCGAAUGAUUCAAAAGUUGUGUUUCAUUAUAUUUAUACUUACUUGUAAAAUGCUUGUAUACAUCAGUGGAAAUGACAUUGAAUUUACUACUUUCGAAUAAAAAAAUGUCUUAAUGUACAAUAAAUUUUGUUUUUAAAUUAGA